rnacentral:rRNA from 1 species
CAAGCCUGAUCCAGCCAUGCCGCGUGGGUGAAGAAGGCCUUCGGGUUGUAAAGCCCUUUUGUUGGGAAAGAAAAGCAGCCGGCCAAUCCCCGGUUGUUCUGACGGUACCCAAAGAAUAAGCCCCGGCUAACUUCGUGCCAGCAGCCGCGGUAAUACGAAGGGUGCAAGCGUUACUCGGAAUUACUGGGCGUAAAGCGUGCGUAGGUGGUGGUUUAGUCAGAGGUGAAAGCCCAGGGCUCAACCUUGGAAUUGCCUUUGAUACUGGCAGUCUUGAGUACGGAAGAGGUGUGUGGAACUCCGAGUGUAGAGGUGAAAUUCGUAGAUAUUCGGAAGAACACCAGUGGCGAAGGCGACACACUGGUCCGUUACUGACGCUGAGGCGCGAAAGCAUGGGGAGCGAACA